UCACAGCAAGAACCUAUGGCAGUAUGAACACAAGAUACCUGCUAGGUGAGUACCGAGUAUAACAUUUCUAAAAGAAUUUAAGGAAAUAAAAUGGCAAACAAUUGGGGGGAAAAUGCUCCAUUUAUUAUGACUUGACUAUGGAUUUUAUAUGCAGCAAGAUUCUACCUUGACGUCGCCAGACUGAGCUCGAUAAACACGUCCAAAAGACCCUUCACCGAGAAGAUUUUCAACACUGAAACUGCCUGUAGCCAUCUGGAGGUCUGCUAUUGAAUAUGAUUUAACAUUUGUUGGAGGUGGUACAGCUUUCUUAA